rnacentral:rRNA from 1 species
CCCUUAGAUGUUCUGGGCCGCACGCGCGCUACACUGACGAAGUCAGCGAGCAUGUCCUACGCCGACAGGUGCGGGGAAUCUUGUCAAACUUCGUCGUGAUGGGGAUUGAUUAUUGAAAUUCUUGAUCAUCAACGAGGAAUUCCUAGUAAGCGCAAGUCAGCAGCUUGCGUUGAUUACGUCCCUGCCCUUUGUACACACCGCCCGUCGCUACUACCGAUUGAAUGGUUUAGUGAGAGCUUCGGAUUGGCGCCACUGCGGCUCAGCAAUGGGCUCGGUGGAUGCCGAAAAGUUGAUCAAACUUGAUCAUUUAGAGGAAGUAAAAGUCGUAACA